rnacentral:rRNA from 1 species
CGUGUCGUGAGAUGUCAGGUUAAGUCCUGUAACGAGCGCAACCCUCGUCGUUAGUUAUACGUGUCUAACGAGACUGCCCGUGAUAAGCGGGAGGAAGGUGAGGAUGACGUCAAGUCAGCAUGGCCUUUAUAUCCUGGGCUACACACACGCUACAAUGGCCAGUACAAUGGGCAGCCAAGCCGCGAGGCGGAGCCAAUCCCGUAAAGCUGGUCUCAGUUCGGAUUGCAGGCUGCAACUCGCCUGCACGAAGUCGGAGUUGCUAGUAACCGCGCGUCAGCCAUAGUGCGGUGAAUACGUUCCCGGGGAUU